rnacentral:rRNA from 1 species
AGGGUUUGAUCCUGGCUCAGGACGAACGCUGGCGGCGUGCUUAACACAUGCAAGUCGAACGGGAACUAAAGGAGCUUGCUCUUUUAGAUCUAGUGGCGGACGGGUGAGUAACGCGUAGGUAACCUACCUCAUACAGGGGGACAACACCGGGAAACUGGUGCUAAUACCGCAUAAUAUUUACUUAUGGCAUCAUAAGAAAAUUAAAGGAGAAAUCCGGUAUGAGAUGGACCUGCGUCCAAUUAGCUAGUUGGUAGGGUAAAAGCUUACCAAGGCGACGAUUGGUAGCCGAACUGAGAGGUUGAUCGGCCACAUUGGGACUGAGACACGGCCCAAACUCCUGCGGGAGGCAGCAGUGGGAAUAUUGCGCAAUGGGGGAAACCCUGACGCAGCAACGCCGCGUGAAGGAUGAAGGCUUUCGGGUUGUAAACUUCUUUGAAUAGGGACGAAGAAAGUGACGGUACCUAUAAAACAAGCCACGGCUAACUACGUGCCAGCAGCCGCGGUAAUACGUAGGUGGCAAGCGUUGUCCGGAAUUACUGGGUGUAAAGGGCGUGUAGGCGGGAAAGCAAGUCAGAUGUGAAAGUCCAAGGCUUAACCAUGGAAGUGCAUCUGAAACUGUUUUUCUUGAGUAUCGGAGAGGAAAGUGGAAUUCCUAGUGUAGCGGUGAAAUGCGUAGAGAUUAGGAGGAACACCAGUGGCGAAGGCGGCUUUCUGGACGAUAACUGACGCUGAGGCGCGAAAGCGUGGGGAGCAAACAGGAUUAGAUACCCUGGUAGUCCACGCUGUAAACGAUGGAUACUAGGUGUAGGAGGUAUCGACCCCUUCUGUGCCGGAGUUAACACAAUAAGUAUCCCACCUGGGGAGUACGAUCGCAAGAUUGAAACUCAAAAUUGACGGGGGCCCGCACAAGCAGUGGAGUAUGUGGUUUAAUUCGAAGCAACGCGAAGAACCUUACCAGGGUUUGACAUCCCUCGAAAGGCUAAGAGAUUAGUUUUUCCCUUUUGGGACGAGGAGACAGGUGGUGCAUGGUUGUCGUCAGCUCGUGUCGUGAGAUGUUGGGUUAAGUCCCGCAACGAGCGCAACCCUUAUUGUUAGUUGCCAGCAAGUGAAGUUGGGCACUCUAGCGAGACUGCCGGCGAUAAGUCGGAGGAAGGUGGGGACGACGUCAAAUCAUCAUGCCCCUUAUAUCCUGGGCUACACACGUACUACAAUGGUCGUUACAGAGGGCAGCGAAACCGUGAGGUGGAGCAAAUCCCCAAAGGCGACCCCAGUUCGGAUUGUAGGCUGAAACUCGCCUACAUGAAGUCGGAAUUGCUAGUAAUGGCAGGUCAGCAUACUGCCGUGAAUACGUUCCCGGGCCUUGUACACACCGCCCGUCACACCAUGAGAGUUGGUAAUACCCGAAGUCAGUAGUUUAACCGUAAGGAGGACGCUGCCGAAGGUAGGGCCGAUGAUUAGGGUGAAGUCGAAACAAGGUA